rnacentral:rRNA from 1 species
GACGAACGCUGGCGGCGUGCUUAACACAUGCAAGUCGAACGAUGAAGCUGGAGCUUGCUCCAGUGGAUUAGUGGCGAACGGGUGAGUAACACGUGAGCAAUCUGCCCUUGACUCUGGGAUAACUGCGGGAAACUGUAGCUAAUACCGGAUACGACACCUUGGGGCAUCCCGGGGUGUGGAAAGAAUUUCGGUCAAGGAUGAGCUCGCGGCCUAUCAGCUUGUUGGUGAGGUAAAGGCUCACCAAGGCGACGACGGGUAGCCGGCCUGAGAGGGUGACGGGCCACACGGGAACUGAGACACGGUACAGACUCCUACGGGAGGCAGCAGUGGGGAAUAUUGCACAAUGGGCGAAAGCCUGAUGCAGCAACGCCGCGUGAGGGAUGACGGCCUUCGGGUUGUAAACCUCUUUUAGCAGGGAAGAAGCGAAAGUGACGGUACCUGCAGAAAAAGCACCGGCUAACUACGUGCCAGCAGCCGCCGCCG